AUUGAACGCUGGCGGCAGGCCUAACACAUGCAAGUCGAGCGAGCGGCGGACGGGUGAGUAAUGUAUGGGGACUGCCCGAUAGAGGGGGAUAACUACUGGAAACGGUGGCUAAUACCGCAUACUAUCGGAUAACCCAUAGUGGAUUAGCUAGUAGGUGGGGAAAAGGCUCACCUGGGCGACGAUCUCUAGCUGGUCUGAGAGGGUGAUCAGCAACACGGGGACUGAGACACGGCCCAGACUCCUACGGAGGCAGCAGUGGGGAAUAUUGCGCAAUGGGCGCAAGCCUGAUGCAGCCAUGCCGCGUGUAUGAAGAAGGUCUUAGGAUUGUAAAGUACUUUCAGCAGGGAGGCGUUACCCGAAGAAGAAGCACCGGCUAACUCCGUGCCAGCAGCCGCGGUAAUUC
rnacentral:rRNA from 1 species